GUUUAUUUAUUUGUAGAGGUCAAGAACAACGAUUCAAUGGACUUGCACAAUCAUUGUGAUUUGGUUGAUUGUGGAAUCACAUGCUCAAAAGAUUAAAAUGAAUCCAAACCGCUGGGGCCCUCAGUCAAUGAUGUAUCUCAAAGGAAAAUAUGGCACAAGAGAUGUUCCUGACUAUGAUGACAGUGUUUACAAAUCAGGGUUGAAUGGCUGGUACACACUUAUUAAAGGGUUCCAAAGGUUGAGGCCACUGAAUUUCAGAAAACCCAGAAGACUUCGAACAACUAAUCCACAACUUGGAGUAUUGAAGAUAGAUGGAUAUUUUGAGGUUGAAGUAGUUUAGUUAUGGGACAAUUUUACCUCAAAGAA